rnacentral:rRNA from 1 species
AUACGGAGGAUCCGAGCGUUAUCCGGAUUUAUUGGGUUUAAAGGGUGCGCAGGCGGCCAUUUAAGUCAGCGGUUAAAUCGUGGGGCUCAACCCCAUUCUGCCGUUGAUACUGGGUGUCUUGAUUGCGGUCGAGGUUGGCGGACUUCGUUGUGUAGCGGUGAAAUGCAUAGAUGUGACGAAGAACACCGAUUGCGUAGGCAGCUGACCAGACCGCAAAUGACGCUCAUGCACGAAAGUGCGGGGAUCGAACAGGAUUAGAUACCCUGGUAGUCCGCACAGUAAACGAUGAAUACUUGUUUUCGGCGAUAUAAUGUCGGAGGCAAAGCGAAAGCGAUAAGUAUUCCACCUGGGGAGUACGCCGGCAACGGUGAAACUCAAAGGAAUUGACGGGG